rnacentral:rRNA from 1 species
UUUAUACAAUGAAGGGUUUGAUCCUGGCUCAGGAUGAACGCUAGCGGCAGGCCUAACACAUGCAAGUCGUGGGGUAACAGGUGUAGCAAUACAUGCUGACGACCGGCGCACGGGUGAGUAAUGCGUAUGCAAUCUGCCUUAAACCGGGGGAUAGCUCCGAGAAAUCGGAAUUAAUACCCCAUAACAUCACGGAUUCGCAUGUUUCUGUGAUUAAAGCUCCGGCGGUUUAAGAUGAGCAUAUGUGCCAUUAGUUAGUUGGUAGGGUAACGGCCUACCAAGACGAUGAUGGCUAGGGGGUCUGAGAGGAUGAUCCCCCACACUGGUACUGAGACACGGACC